rnacentral:rRNA from 1 species
CCUACGGGAGGCAGCAGUGGGGAAUAUUGUACAAUGGGGGAAACCCUGAUGCAGCGACGCCGCGUGAGUGAAGAAGUAUUUCGGUACGUAAAGCUCUAUCAGCAGGGAAGAAAAUGACGGUACCUGACUAAGAAGCCCCGGCUAACUACGUGCCAGCAGCCGCGGUAAUACGUAGGGGGCAAGCGUUAUCCGGAUUUACUGGGUGUAAAGGGAGCGUAGACGGCAGCGCAAGUCUGGAGUGAAAUCCCAUGGCUUAACCAUGGAACUGCUUUGGAAACUGUGCAGCUAGAGUGCAGGAGAGGUAAGCGGAAUUCCUAGUGUAGCGGUGAAAUGCGUAGAUAUUAGGAGGAACACCAGUGGCGAAGGCGGCUUACUGGACUGUAACUGACGUUGAGGCUCGAAAGCGUGGGGAGCAAACAGGAUUAGAUACCCCAGUAGUC